rnacentral:tRNA from 1 species
GGGCCGGUAGUAUAACGGCAGUACGCUUGCCUGAGACGCAGGAGAUACGGGAUCAACCCCCGUCCGGUCCA